rnacentral:lncRNA from 1 species
ACUGCAUGUAGAGCAACCAGAUGUGGAUUCGGUCGACUCUGAGCUUGCUCUGCAAAAACUGACGUUACUUUGCGCUUACAAGUAUGAAGGAGAUCAAGCUACCCGAUCUCCAUGGUCAUAAGGACGUCGGGGAACUACUCAACCCUACUCGGGGUUGGAUUGACUUGAUGUAAUCCCGUUCUGACAUCACCCAAGUUCACGGCGAGAAGCUACUCGGCUGGUUGGUGUGGGGAUGUCCGAACCAGGUUGGAUUGUGUCAGUCAAGACUUCUGUGGUGAGAGUUGUGAAUUGCGUCACUUUCUAACCUUGUCACGUGAUCUGACUGCCCAGGACGGACCCAUUCAAUUUAUCGAAAGACUGGCGUCUAUUAAGAACAGACGAGGAGUGUCUGAGCACAAGGCCCUAAGCCGGGAACUCCAAUCCCUGACCGAGAGGCACAUGGUGCGCCUCAAACAUCUCCAGGAUGUGACGGAGGUGUGUUGCCUAUAGACUGAAACUCUCUUCAUAUUGUUUGUUGUUGUAUUAAUUCCGCUUAAUCCAAGCAUACACGUCCAUGUGAAAUAGCAUGUAACAACGUUGAUGAUUUCUGUUUUGGCAGAAGGGAAUUUUGGGUAUGGCCGCCUGUCACAAUUGUAAACAGAGAAUGGCCAACAGCGAAUCCUGUCUUUAACAGACACACAUACAUGUACAGUGUCACACGAAACACUCACUCAUCCAACACUUUCUCUCUCCGUGUCUUCACCUGUUUCAUGCAUGUUUCUUAUCAACCCCACUUUUGAUUUUUUGAGUUGGUUUGUCUACUCCUUCUUCUUUCUUUAUUCCCUAUAUUGUUUGUCCCCACUCUCAUCCCACCCAGACCU